CAGGCCUAACACAUGCAAGUCGAGCGGAAACGAUCCUAGCUUGCUAGGAGGCGUCGAGCGGCGGACGGGUGAGUAACACGUGAGAAUCUGCCCAUUAGAGGGGGAUAACCUGGGGAAACCCAGGCUAAUACCGCAUAAUCCCUACGGGGGAAAGCAGGGGAUCUUCGGACCUUGUGCUGAUGGAUGAGCUCGCGUCGGAUUAGCUUGUUGGUGAGGUAAUGGCUCACCAAGGCGACGAUCCGUAGCUGGUCUUAGAGGAUGAUCAGCCACACCGGGACUGAGACACGGCCCGGACUCCUACGGGAGGCAGCAGUGGGGAAUCUUGGACAAUGGGGGCAACCCUGAUCCAGCCAUGCCGCGUGUGUGAAGAAGGCCUUCGGGUUGUAAAGCACUUUCAGUAGGGAGGAAGGCUUAUCCUUAAUACGGAUGAGUACUUGACGUUACCUACA
rnacentral:rRNA from 1 species